rnacentral:tRNA from 1 species
GCUUCUAUCGUAUAAUGGCUUAUUACUUUGGCUUUGUAACCCAAAAAUCUGCGUUCGAUUCGCAGUGGAAGCAC